CUCUGUGACUCCUACGGGAGGCAGCAGUGGGGAAUAUUGCACAAUGGGCGCAAGCCUGAUGCAGCAACGCCGUGUGAGUGAAGAAGGUUUUCGGAUCGUAAAACUCUGUCCUAAGGGAAGAAACAAAUGACGGUACCUUAGGAGGAAGCCCCCGGCUAACUACGUGCCAGCAGCCGCGGUAAUACGUAGGGGGCAAGCGUUAUCCGGAAUCACUGGGCGUAAAGGGUGCGUAGGCGGCUUAGCAAGCCAGGGGUGAAAGGCAUUGGCUCAACCAAUGUAAGCCUUUGGAACUGUUAAGCUUGAGUGCAGGAGAGGUAAGUGGAAUUCCUAGUGUAGAGGUGAAAUUCGUAGAUAUUAGGAGGAACACCAGUGGCGAAGGCGACUUACUGGACUGUAACUGACGCUGAUGCACGAAAGCGUGGGUAGCGAACAGGAUUAGAUACCCUGGUAG
rnacentral:rRNA from 1 species